UGAAGCUCAAACAACCAUCAUCAAACUGAUUGUGGAAAUAAUAAUAUCAUCACCAUCAUCUGCUCAUGAAACACGAAUGGCUCUGUCAUUCUGUCCGACGAGUACUUACUAACUAGAAUUAGAUAUAAAUCCCUAGAGGGAGAUUCUUCUAGCGGCUUUGUGCCAUCCUAUGGCUUUGUGUGCAAGUCUUCAGUGUAACACUCAGCACGGAGCAUAGUACCCAGGUGCUUGACUGCCUCUCCUAAAGGUGGCGCAGUGGUAAAGAAUCUGUCUGCAGUGCAGGAGAUGCAAGUUCGAUCCCU